rnacentral:rRNA from 1 species
AUGGUGUAUAGGAUUUUCUAUGAGGUGGAGGAGGUUGUGGAUGAAGGAUGGGCCAAAAAUGAAGAUGAACUGUCGCAGGGAUACGAGGACUGGAUGGAUUUUCAGCUUGAAGAGAAGGAAAGUAGAGACCCUAAAAAAGCUAAAAUUGAUGAUGUUGACACUGUAGUCAUUCAUGCAAGUACAAGAACCAAGAUGGCAAUGGAGGAUAGGGAUGCUCAUGUGAAGGAACAGGAAGAAAAAGACAAACUAAUGUAUUACAAAAAUCAAGACAAUGAAAAAAUGAGGAAGAAAGAUGAGGAAACUGGGUCUACUUCAGUCAAUGGUGGUGAUGUUGGUGAGGCUGGGAAGGAGAUACACGAUAAAACAAAUGAUGAUGAAUUAGGAGAGGAAUUGGAAACAUCCAAAUCUGUUAGCCUGGGCACAAAGCUUGGGAUAAAUGGUCAGGAAGAUGAGGGAAUGGUUAAUAACAACAACUCUGAAGGAAAUCAAGGCUUACCCAGAUACAAUGGAAGAAUUGCUUCGAAAAACAUGGAUGACAUUCCUAUAUUAGACAGGACCAUGACUUUGGCAAGAGCCAAAAAUCUGGCCUUAUCUGAAGGUGAAGGAGGAAAAAAAGGCGGAGCUACAACAGGGCGCAAAGUUGCUGGAACGAGUCGCCAGUGA